rnacentral:rRNA from 1 species
AGAAUCAACGCUGGCGGCGUGCCUAACACAUGCAAGUCGAACGAGAAAGUGGAGCAAUCCAUGAGUAAAGUGGCGACCGGGUGAGUAACACGUGACUAACCUACCUUCGAGUGGGGGAUAACCUCGGGAAACCGAGGCUAAUACCGCAUAACAUCGUGAGAUCAAAGCAGUAAUGCGCUGGAAGAGGGGGUCGCGGCUGAUUAGCUAGUUGGCGGGUAAUGGCCCACAAGGCGAUGAUCGGUA